GCUCGAUGCAGAACGGCGGCAGACGGACCUUGCAGGGUCCGGAUCCGCGCGCGGUAGCUGCUGGGCAGGUGGGCGGCGAUGCGGGGUUCGCCGUUGACGACGAGGAAGGCCGGAGCGCGGCUUCUCGGGCGGAUCCAUGGCGGCUCCUGGGCAGAUAGGAGAUAUGGAGGUGAGGUGGAGAAGAAGGAGCUCGCCGGAGCCGGGCGACGGCGGAUGGGGGCGGGAGACGGAGGGAUCCGACCCGGCGGCGCGAAGUUCUUGCAGGUGGAGACGGGGUUGGUUCUGCGCGCAAACGCCCACGUUGGCCGCCUCCGACGACUCAUCGCCGCCGUGGCAGUCAUGAACUCCGACCACGGGGACUCGCACGCCCUGCAGCGGCUGGAACUGGCUGAAGGUCAUUCGGCAUCCUCGACUUCAUGCCUUCCCCACGCCCUCCUCCAUCCACGACCUCUGCUAGGCCUUAUGCUACUCCCAGCUCAAGCUCGACAAGCAUGCCGCAUGCUACUUCUUCCCUACAUCCUAAAGAUGUCACCUUUAUUCCUGACGAGUUAAUGUUUGAUGCAACCCUGCAAUCUACAAUUUGCCCGUCAGAAGGUUACCUGAAGCUUAAAAUAGAGAAAAUGGCUAUUAACCUCAUGAUUUUGUGUACUAAGUCACAAGGUAUUUUGUCUCAACCAAAUAAGAGUUUCAUUAUUAUUUUUGAGCAAUUUAGAAUUGCUUUUUCAUAUUUGUUGGAGAAUCAGAUCGAUGAAUAUUGAGAUUAUAUCAAUUAAGGUACCUUUUACAAACUAAUACUAUCUAAUCUGACACCCUGUUAACCUCAUGAUUUCGUGUACUACUUAUUUCCUCAUGAUUUUUAAGUUGCACGAUUUGGCUUUUGGAGACAAUUUCAGAUCCGGCUUAGUGACAGGAUCAUCUUUUUCUUGAGUUAUUUUGCUAAAAACAUCACAAGAUAUGGUCCUAAUUGUUUGCAGAUUUAUCUCUGUUCAAUCUGCCUUCACUGAACGUCUGAACAUGCCAAUGUGUUAAGCUUGUGGUGUAUUUCUUAUGGUGGAGGGAAUAAUAAGUGUUAGUUCUGCAAAGUUUGACCAGACGGCUAUGCAUGUGCAAGCAUAACUACAUUGGCUGGUGCGUAUACAGUCUAAGUGCAAGGCACACUGGCCAUUUGACCGAAGCCAGUAGGACCACUAGGAUUUGCAGUACUGAGAGACUCAACCUGCACUGGCACAUUGUGAUUUUUACUGUAGGUUGCUUUUAGUGGUUAGAUAUGUGACCUGAAUGUGAGCUAGAGUAUAGGGAUUAUCUUCUAUGCUAUCGGUUGGUCUUAUGUUCUCAUAUCUUAAUAUGUCCUACUCAUUUUCUUACAGUUUCGUGAUCCAGCACAAUCUUUAUAUUUUCUACAGAUUCUUAAGCAAUUACUCGCAUUUGAAAAAUGAUGGAUGGAGCAUGCCCUCUUUUUGAAAACUAUUGUGGACCAUUGGUGUUCGAGAUUAUAUUGUGCUUCGGGCCAUUGUGAGAUGUCUAUCACCAUGUAUUGCUUACAUGAUAGGGAAAAAAUAUUGCAAGUCAUUACGUCUCUCCGUCAGAGGACGAUUGCGUAUUCAUGGUCUAGGAUUUUUUUUUACUGAGCUCAUGGUUGUCAACUAUUUAUUUCCAUUUCUUUGGUAGUGAUAUUUGGUAAGGCUGGAGGUCCUAGCUACAGAACAUCAACGGCGUAAAGUAUAUGUAUUGCUGCUCAGACGUUCUGUAGAUAACUUACUGAUUUUUCAUUUUUAUCAUGUACGCUUCAAUUCUUGCAUGCCAAAUAAACAUAAGUUGAUGUUUAAUUGUUUGCUUGUCUCAUGUUUGCUCUUCAUUAUCCUAUAUCAAAGUGAUGCCGUUCAAUGCGUUUGUCCCUUUCUGAUGUAGAAAUUGAUUUCCAUGAGGCAUGCCCUCAAUGUGCAACAAUAUCAUUCUUCCUGGUGUUGCAUUAAAUAUACCUCUUAUUUAGAAAAAUAUAUCCUUUGGAUUUGGGAGCAGUAUAUUAGGUAGACAUCGUUUGGUGAACAUCUGCAGGGUAGAAUUCUUGGUUGACUCUAGAAUUUUGUUGUAGAUUAGUUGGCAGAUUAGAAUGUCUUUGGCGAGUUCUUUGUUGGUUAGGUCCAGCUCCCUUGGCACUGGACCUAGCAAAUGCGUGUGCAUGUGCAGAUCUCUCACCCAUCCACUGCACCACCUGUUGUUGGAUGGCAGUGGGGUGUCCAAGCGUGUGGAAGGCCUAUCCGCCGUGGCGGCGCAGCUCAGCUCCGAGGAGAACAGUUCCAAGGCCCAACUAACAGUCUACCACAACUCUUAGCCCAUUCCUAGACUGUAAUUAAAUUGCAUUAUCAAUCAAUCAUAGGCUACAAUUAACCAGUGUAAUUUGGAUAUGCAACACCAGGGACCAUUUGAUUGAAUUGGUGGUAUAGUAAUGCUAUCCUGAUACAAUUAUUAGAUCAUUUUGUCCUGACAAGCAGAUGGUCUUUGUCCUGUCAUGCAGAUGGUCUUUCGUCCUGUCAAGCAGAUGGUUAAUUACUGGACAGGUAGAGCAUGGCAUUUUCCGUGUGCAAUCCACACUGACAAGCCUGCAGAGGCUACUUCAAGUCAAGUGUCUUUAGAAUUUCUUACUAUGUCUACUCAUGUAGUAUUUAGAUUAGAAUAGUAUCAGAUUUGAUUGAUGCCCUCAGUUCAUCACACACACUGACAUGUUACUUCUUUCUCGCUUUAACUUUGAAGCCCAAAUAAGCAUCUUUUGCUACUUAAUUGCGCUUGUAGACAUUUUUUAUUCUCAGUUCAUGAAUAAUAUAUGUUCACAAGACAUAAAUUUAGAACUUUUGGCACAUAUGUACUUUAAUAUUCUUGCACGCUUUUAUUCCUUGAUUUUUUUCAUUGAACAUGUGUGUCAAGUUAGUGUAUAAUUAUUUUCAUCAGAGCUUGUAACAUGGCAUGGUUUGAAGGAUACUAAUAGCUUCAUUCGUUGUGAUCCUGGGACCUAGACAUAUCCUUCAUACCAAUCUGUUUUUUAGUGAUGACACCUGAACGUGUAACUCAUACUAUUUUUCUAGAUGUUUUUUUUUUGCUUAUACUCAUGGUUCUGGGUGUGGUGUAUUAACAUUGACAUGAUGUAUGGAUUUUUCAGAAGUUGAGCACACAUACUCAUGAACGUUGUGCUGCUUAUUCGUUAUCCACCCAUACUGCUCAGAAGCCUGCCGCUUUUUUCAAUGGUCUUCGCGGAUGGUUGUUGAGCCCAUCUCAGAUGAAUAGCUAGAUACCAGGAUGUAGGGCUAUCAUUUAUCCCUAACAAAAUUGAAGUUUUUUUCUUUGGUACGACACGAUAGUUCUCUAGAUUAUAACCAUUAUAAUUACUUGCAAGUUCUCAAGAAAUAUUUGUUGUGCAACUAUAAAAAAUACGAUCAGAUUGAAUUAAGGGUAUAGCUUGUAA